GUACUUCCUUCAGCAUAUACAUAUACUAAAUUUGGAAUGAUAUAGAGAAGAUUGGCUUGGUUCCUGCACAAAAAUGACAUACAAAUUCAAGAAGAAUUUUUUUGUAUU
rnacentral:snRNA from 1 species